rnacentral:rRNA from 1 species
ACGGCGAGUGAAGCGGCAAAAGCUCAAAUUUGAAAUCCUGCGGGAAUUGUAAUUUCGAAGGUUUCGUGGUCUGAGUCGGCCGCGCCCAAGUCCAUUGGAACAUGGCGCCUGGGAGGGUGAGAGCCCCGUCCGGCGCACGCCGACUCUUUGCACCGCGGCUCCGACGAGUCGAGUUGUUUGGGAAUGCAGCUCUAAGUGGGUGGUAAAUUCCAUCUAAAGCUAAAUAUUGGCGAGAGACCGAUAGCGAACAAGUACAGUGAUGGAAAGAUGAAAAGCACUUUGAAAAGAGAGUGAAACAGCACGUGAAAUUGUUGAAAGGGAAGGGCUUGCAAGCAGACACGGUUUUACCGGGCCAGCGUCAAAUAAACGGGGGGGAAAAGGGG